rnacentral:rRNA from 1 species
GAUGAACGCUGGCGGCGUGCUUAACACAUGCAAGUCGAACGGAAAGGCCCAAGCUUGCUUGGGUACUCGAGUGGCGAACGGGUGAGUAACACGUGGGUGAUCUGCCCUGCACUUCGGGAUAAGCCUGGGAAACUGGGUCUAAUACUGGAUAGGACCACUUCUUGGAUGUUGUGGUGGAAAGUUUUUUCGGUGUGGGAUGAGCUCGCGGCCUAUCAGCUUGUUGGUGGGGUAAUGGCCUACCAAGGCGUCGACGGGUAGCCGGCCUGGGAGGGUGUACGGCCACAGUGGGACUGAGGGAGGGCCCAGACUGCUACGGGAGGCAGCAGUGGGGAAUAUUGCACAAUGGGCGCAAGCCUGAUGCAGCGACGCCGCGUGGGGGAUGACGGCCUUCGGGUUGUAAACUCCUUUCGCUAGGGACGAAGCGUUUUGUGACGGUACCUGGAGAAGAAGCACCGGCUAACUACGU